rnacentral:lncRNA from 13 species
GCCUAAGGUUGUUUUGAAUUCUAUGUUGUGUGAUUUGUCUUUGUAUGGGCCUAAAGUUCAAUGAAAUACAAACAGCAACCAUAGCCUACAAACAUUUCCCACACAAAUACAAAUGUGGGUGUUUAGUGAGAACACAAAAUAAUAACAUUACAGCCAUAACUGUACAAACAAAUAUACAAUCACAACUCUCUCCCCACUAUUUAUUAUUUCUGCAGUGAGGAUUCACCCCCUUUAGAUAAUGAUGUUGUAAUUUAUCUACAGAAAAACGUUGUUCUGAUCUCAACAAGCAGUAGUAGCAGUUUGCAAAUCAUAGAGCCAGAGGAAUGGCUCUUUCACCGAUGCAAUUCGGUUCCCGAGGUUCAACAAAAAGAUCCGUUCAAAAAGAGCCGUUCGUUCGUGAACGACACAUCACCACACUGUAGUUCUCCACCAUUUCGUAUCGUGAGCUGGAGGAGCGUUCGUCCAACUUCUCAUCCAAGUAAAUGGCAGAGGCGCAUCAUCCAUCCGCUGAAAUCCCAAGGGACUGGGAGGAUAGUUCACGAUGCAACAAGCGUUUGGGGAGGACAUUCAUUGUAACGCAAUGACUGUUUUUAAAUUCUUGAGGGACUCUUGCUCCAGGGGAAAUCUCAGCAGUGAUGUCUCUGCUGUGCGUCAGAGGGGUAUAAUGAAAGAGUGGAAGGCUGAGUCAGAGAGCCAGAGGGAGUCAGAGUGCCACAGAGGGAGUCAGAGAGAGCCAUAGAAUGGGAGGAGAACCAGAGAAAAAUGCAGGGGAUCAACAGACUCAAACAACUGCUGGAUCUACUGAUGGUGGACCUACAACUGGCCCACCAAGAGAUUGAGAGAUUGAGGCUAUGGCAGAAAGUCAUGGAGGAUCAGCGACCAAGACUGGCCUGGAACAACAAACCUAUUGAAACAGGAAGAGAGAGGGAAAGAGAGAGGGAAAAAGAGAGAGAAAGGGAGAUGGAAAGGAAGAGAAAAGCAGAAUUGGAAAGACAAGAAAUGAAGAAGAAAGUGGAACAGGCAGAAGAAACGAUAAAAGCGUUAGAACGAGAGAUUGAGAGAUUGAAAGAGAUUGAGAAGGAAAUCAUAUUUGAAAGAGAAAGAGACAUGCGUAUUGCAGAGAAUGAGAAAGUCAAACUGGUCAACGAAAAGGUAAAAGAGUUAGAGAGAGAGGUUGAGAGACUGAAAGAAGAUAUGACAACAAAAGAGAUUCAAUACAAAAUCAAAUUUGAAAGAGCGAAAGAAGCAUUUAGAAGACAGAAUGAGAGAGUGAAACAGGUUAACCAAAAUGUACUAGUGUUAGACAGAGAGGUUGUGAGAAUGAAAGAAGAGAUUAGAUUGAAAGACGAGACUGAACCAGAGAGAACAUUUGAUAGAGACAGAGAGAGAGAAAAUGAUUGGAGACGAAGUGAAGAGGAGUUGAAAAAUAGAGUGGAGAGAGAGAUGGAGAUGGAGACAGCCCUCAUCAAUGACAAAAAGAUGUCUGAAUUGGAGGAAGUCUUCAAGAAAAUCAAGGAACAGCAGAUAGAAUUAGAAAAUAUGGAAACAGACAAAUAUAAAUGGAAACAGAACCAAAUGGACAUGGAGGAGAAGAUGGAGGGUGAGCACAACAAACAGAAAGAGGUAGAAAGAAAGAGAAUGGAGAAAAUACCAAAACAGAGACAAGAAGAAGAUGAGAAGAAGAAGGAGAUGGAGAGAGAAGAAGAGGAGAGACGCAAACAGAAGCACAUAGAGAUGGAAGAGGAAGAAAGAGAGAGGGAGAAAGAGAGACAGAGAGAGAUCAAAAGGAAGAGAAUGGAGAAGAGACAGAAAAUUAUGGAAAGAGAAGAAGAGAGACAGAGAGAGAUUGAAAGAGAGAUUGAAGAAGAAAGAUGUAAACAGAAGCAAAUAGAGAUGGAAGAGGAAGAACGAGAGAGGGAGAAAGAGAGACAGAGAGAGAUCAAAAGAAAGAUAAUGGAAAAGAGACAAAAACAUAUCGAAAGAGAAGAAGAGAGACAAAAAGAGAUUGAAAGAGAGCACGAAGAAGAAAGAUGUAAACAGAAGAAAAUAGAUAUGGAAGAGAAAGAAAGAGAAGAAGAGAGACAGAGAGAGAUUGAAAGAGAGCACGAAGAAGAAAGAUGUAAACAGAAGCAAAUAGAGAUGGAAGAGGAAGAACGAGAGAGGGAGAAAGAGAGACAGAGAGAGAUCAAAAGAAAGAGAAUGGAGAAGAGACAGAAACACAUGGAAAGAGAAGUGAGACAGAAAGAGAUUGAAAGAGAGAAUGAAGAACAACUAUUUAAACAGAAGCAAAUAGAGAUGGAAGAGGAAGAAAGAGAAGAAGAGAGACAGAAAGAGAUUGAAAGAGAGAAUGAAGAACAACUAUUUAAACAGAAGCAAAUAGAGAUGGAAGAGGAAGAAAGAGAAGAAGAGAGACAGAGAGCGAUCGAAGAGAAAGAGAGACAGAGAGAGAUUGGAGAGAAAGAAAGACGACAACAACAAGAGGAGAGACAGAAACAAAUGGAGAAGGAGAAAGAAAGGGAGAAAGACAAUGACAAUCAGAGAGAGAUGGAAUUAAAAGAUCAGCAACAGAAAGAGAUGGAGAAAGAAAAGAUGAUUAUGAGAGAAAGAGAGGAAGCAGGAAGAAGAAAGGAAGGGCAGAAAAAUAUUUUGGGGGAAAUUGAGGGACAGAAUGAACUGGAGAUAGAACAGGAGAGAGAGAUGGAAGAAAAGCAGGAAGUGAUUAAGGAAGCAGAGGAAGAGUACAGGGAAAGAGAAGAGAGAGGAAAGGAAGUAAGCAUGAAGAAACAUGUAGUAGUUAAUGUUAAAGCAAAAGCACAGGAAGUCUUCAAUAGGCGUAAAGAGAGGAGGUUAGAAGUGUUGAAGGGGGAACGAGAACACAUAGAAAGAGGACAACAAAUCAGGAGGGAGAAGGAGGAAAGACGGCUGGAGAUGGAAAGAAAACAGGAGAGGGCAAGACAACAAGAGGAGCAGGAUAAAAAACGAGAGAUUGAAAUUGCUAGACAGAAAGAAAUGUUGAGACUAAGAGAGGAGGAGAGGCAGAGAGAGGAAGAGAGAGAGGAGGAGAGAAAGAAAGCCAUUAAAUGCCUUUUAUCUUUAAUCAGAGAGAGAGAAGAAAUAAUACAGGCAAAAAAAAGAGAGGAGAUGGUGGAAGAGGAAAGAAGGGAGAUCCUUGAGUACAAGAGGGGUGACUUAGAGGAGGAGGAAAAGGAAGAUGACAAGGAGGACAUUCUCUCACCCGAUAAAAGUAUCCGAAGGAGAGCUGUGGGCUGGGUGAACAAGAAGUGGGAGAAGAGGAACAUCAGAAAGAUAGAGAGAACGUAUCAGAGAGAGGCUGAGGAGGGCCAUAAGAUCGUCCACAUAGCCAUCCCUGGACACACAAGGCUAACAUCCACCAUGACCCGGGCAGAGAGAGAGAGGGAGAAGAGGAAGCUGCUGAAGGCUGAGGAGAGAAGGAAGAAGAUGGAGGAUUUCAAUAAGCAGUGGAGAGAGCGGUCCCUGCUUAAAAAACAGACUCGUCAACAACUGAAGGAGGAGAGGGAGAGGAUGAAGGAAAACUACCUGGAGCAGAUGAAUCUGGAGGCUGAUGCUCAAAUCAACACCCGGUGUCUAACCACCCAACACAGCCACGAUUACAACCACGGUCAGGAGUUGCCCUGGUGGGCCACAGGCCAACAAGUAAGCCAAGAGCCCACUGGAUCUGCUGAUGGCCACCAGGAAAGGCCAAGGAGGCAACAGGCAUGGGCAGAGAACCAGGAGGGGAGUUCAGAGAACCAGCAGGAGGGGCCAGAGAACCAUCAGGGGGGGCCAGACAGCCAGCAGCUAGAAGCUCCAGAAGAGGUUGAAACAUCAGAGCGAAUAUCCAAGACAAAGAAAAAGCCAAGCAUCUGGAAGAAAAUUAGGAUGAGGUAAAGAAUGUUUAAACAUCUAUUCAUGUUUUACACUGUUAAUAUACAUGUCAUCACUUUAAAAAGUGACAUUAUCCAAAUGUGAGGGUUUAGUGUACAUGCAUCACACAUGUAAAUAUAUAGAUACUUACCUGUCUCUGUGAUGUCUUACAGCCUUCCUGACGUGCUGUCUGCCUAGAGCUGGAACUCGAUGAAGCCACAGUUCCACUGAGGUUACGUUGGUAAUUAAAAGUGUCGCCCAAUAAUUCCUCCUCCUCUUUAAGUCAUCGAGCCACAUUUCCUCCUCAAAACAUUAUAGUCUCCUCAAGCCAUCAAGUAUCCUCUUUAUCAGGCAACAAACCAUCGAAGGUCAGUGACCCUCCUCCCAAGAACAGAGACUCUCAUCUGUAUCCUAGUUAAAUUCAUCUCUGCUUACCACCUCUACAGUCCUAGAAAAUAUCCCAAAAAUGGAAAUGGUUUCAACAGAAGUCCUCCCCUCAGACCAGUGGCUCCACAGACCAGAGUUUCUCAUCUUUAUUCAAGUUGAAUGCAACUCUGAUCAUUUCCACCACCUCUCCUGUUAAGGGGAGGUUCUGAAAAGGAGGUCUGGGAGGAGGUCUGCAGGUAGCCUGGACCGGACCGGUAGCAGCUAAGUUGCUGGCUCCAUCCCCGGGCAGAGCUGCUCAAGUCAGGCCAGUGAUGUUUGAUGAUGUCAUUUUUGUUUGCAAAGUUUUACUCUUUAAUAAAAGCAUUUAUUAAAAAAGCAAUAUUGUUGUUACGGUGUGGAUUGUUUUGUUAUUUAUUAGAAUUGAAACAUCCAGUAGUCAUGGUAGAUGUUAGACUUUCAAUGAGACACCUAACAUUCCAUCAGUUUGAUACAAUGUGUGACAUGUUAUAUUAGAGAGGAGUCCUCUAUACACAUCUAUUUUAGACCAUAGGAGAAAUAUCAGAUUGAAAUAGCUUCUCUAAGAAUCUGAGGAGAGAGCAACAGUAGAAGCAUCGUUAGCUCUCCCACCUCCAGUUCAGUACUCGGGUCAUUCCACCAAUUGAGCACCUUUUGGGGAGUGUAACUUUUAAAUUCACCUAAUUCUAACAUUCUGUCAUAAAAAGCACAUGUUCAACUUAAUAUAAAACAUAUUUUCCCAUCUCAAAAGUAACAAAUACAUACUAUAGUAAGUGCCUAUUAAGUGCCAAAUAAAGUGACAGGGUUGACUGUAACAGAGUUGACUAUUUCAUCUAGAAUCAACCAUAGAUCCCCAU